AUAUUGGGCAAUGGGGGAAACCCUGACCCAGCGACGCCGCGUGAGGGAAGAAGGUUUUCGGAUUGUAAACCUCUGUCCUUGGUGACGAUAAUGACGGUAGCCAAGGAGGAAGCCACGGCUAACUACGUGCCAGCAGCCGCGGUAAUACGUAGGUGGCGAGCGUUGUCCGGAAUUACUGGGUGUAAAGGGAGCGUAGGCGGGAGAGCAAGUCGACUGUGAAAUCUAUGGGCUUAACCCAUAGCUGCGAUCGAAACUGUUCAUCUUGAGUGAAGUAGAGGCAGGCGGAAUUCCUAGUGUAGCGGUGAAAUGCGUAAAUAUUAGGAGGAACACCAGUGGCGAAGGCGGCCUGCUGGGCUUUAACUGACGCUGAGGCUCGAAAGCGUGGGUAGCAAACAGG
rnacentral:rRNA from 1 species